rnacentral:lncRNA from 1 species
GGAUUGCAUGGCAAACCAGGCCCCAGAGGACAGCGAGGACCAACAGUAAGUUCUUUUGCAGCAUAGAAGCUUGUGUAAAUUGCCUCCACUAUACUGUGAAGAAUUACUUUUAUUAGAUUAUGAUAUCCAGUAUUUAUUAUCAAGUGUAUCUGUGUCAAAUUGACAGGGUCCAAGAGGCUCAAGAGGUCCCAGGGGUCCCACUGGUAAACCAGGUCCAAAGGGCACUUCAGGCAAUGAUGGUCCUCCUGGCCCACCAGGCGAAAGGGGACCGCAAGGGCCUCAGGGGCCUGUUGGAUUCCCUGGACCGAAGGGACCUCCAGGUCCACCUGGAAAAGAUGGCUUGCCUGGGCACCCAGGACAGCGGGGUGAAACUGGUUUUCAAGGAAAAACUGGUCCUCCUGGUCCUGGUGGUGUUGUUGGCCCUCAGGGUCCUACGGGUGAGACUGGACCAAUUGGUGAAAGAGGCCAUCCAGGUCCUCCUGGUCCCCCAGGUGAACAAGGCCUCCCAGGUGCUGCAGGAAAAGAAGGUGCUAAGGGUGAUCCAGGCCCUCAAGGCAUUCCUGGUAAGGAUGGACCAGCAGGUCUUCGGGGUUUCCCUGGGGAGAGAGGCCUUCCAGGUGGUCAGGUAUGAUAUAAGCACUAGAGCAAUUGCCAUGAUAUUUCUAAAUAAAAGAAACAAUGUAUUAACUCCUUUAUUUCAUGAAGUCUUCUACUGUGCUUAAAAUAAAUGCAAUAAGGGAAUAGACA